rnacentral:rRNA from 1 species
UACGGGGGGGGCAAGCGUUGUUCGGAAUUACUGGGCGUAAAGGGCUCGUAGGCGGCCAACUAAGUCAGACGUGAAAUCCCUCGGCUUAACCGGGGAACUGCAUCUGAUACUGGAUGGCUUGAGUUCGGGAGAGGGAUGCGGAAUUCCAGGUGUAGCGGUGAAAUGCGUAGAUAUCUGGAGGAACACCGGUGGCGAAGGCGGCAUCCUGGACCGACACUGGCGCUGAGGAGCGAAAAGCCAGGGGAGCAAACAGG